AUGAAUCUUGCUAAGAUUUUGAUCUAUGUACCUAUCUUGAAGCAUGACAGUUUGUGUGUCCUUUACAGGUCAAUUUGCAAGUUGGUUGGAUGGAAUUCGAAGUUAGUUCAUCUGAUUGCUUUUUUGUUUCAACAUUCUGAACUGACUCAUGAACAGUCCUUAUUUCCUUUGUUAAUUGCUUUGGAUUUUCUAAACUGA